AUUGAACGCUGGCGGCAGGCCUAACACAUGCAAGUCGAGCGGAGCGGCGGACGGGUGAGUAAUGCCAAGGAAUGGGCAUGGUGGUGGGGGAUAGGGUCAGGAAACGGGCGCUAAUACCGAAUACACUCAGAUGAGGCUAGGUCGGAUUAGCUAGUUGGUGGGGUAAAGGCCUACCAAGGCGACGAUCCGUAACUGGUCUGAGAGGGUGAUCAGUCACACUGGAACUGAGACACGGCCCAGACUCCUACGGGAGGCAGCAGUGGGGAAUAUUGGACAAUGGGCGAAAGCCUGAUCCAGCCAUGCCGCGUGUGUGAAGAAGGUCUUCGGAUUGUAAAGCACUUUAAGUUGGGAGGCGUUACCAACAGAAUAAGCACCGGCUAACUUCGUGCCAGCAGCCGCGGUAAUUC
rnacentral:rRNA from 1 species